rnacentral:rRNA from 1 species
GACGAACGCUGGCGGCGUGCUUAACACAUGCAAGUCGAACGGAAAGGCCCUGCUCUUGUGGGGUGCUCGAGUGGCGAACGGGUGAGUAACACGUGAGUAACCUGCCCUUGACUUUGGGAUAACUUCAGGAAACUGGGGCUAAUACCGGAUAGGAGCUCCUGCUGCAUGGUGGGGGUUGGAAAGUUUCGGCGGUUGGGGAUGGACUCGCGGCUUAUCAGCUUGUUGGUGGGGUAGUGGCUUACCAAGGCUUUGACGGGUAGCCGGCCUGAGAGGGUGACCGGCCACAAUGGGACUGAGAUACGGCCCAGACUCCUACGGGAGGCAGCAGUGGGGAAUAUUGCACAAUGGGCGGAAGCCUGAUGCAGCAACGCCGCGUGCGGGAUGACGGCCUUCGGGUUGUAAACCGCUUUCGCCUGUGACGAAGCGUGAGUGACGGUAAUGGGUAAAGAAGCACCGGCUAACUACGUG